rnacentral:rRNA from 1 species
CUGACACAGGGAGGUAGUGACAAAAAAUACCAAUACAGGGCAUUACAUGUCUUGUAAUUGGAAUGAGAACAAUUUAAAUCCCUUAUCGAGGAUCCAUUGGAGGGCAAGUCUGGUGCCAGCAGCCGCGGUAAUUCCAGCUCCAAUAGCGUAUAUUAAAGUUGUUGCAGUUAAAAAGCUCGUAGUCGGAUUUUGGCAUCACGCCGAACUGUCUGCCGAUUGGUAAGUACGGUUUGGCGGGUGCUUCCUUCCGGAGGCUCGUUCCCUUCUUCAUUGAAGGGUUCGUUGGUUCCGGGUCUUUUACUUUGAGAAAAUUAGAGUGUUCAAAGCAGGCCUAUGCUCUGAAUAGGUUAGCAUGGAAUAAUAGAAUAGGACUUUGGUUCUAUUUUGUUGGUUUCUAGGACCGAAGUAAUGAUUAAUAGGGACAGUUGGGGGCAUUCAUAUUCCAUUGUCAGAGGUGAAAUUCUUGGAUUAACGGAAGAUGAACUUCUGCGAAAGCAUCUGCCAAGGAUGUUUUCA